rnacentral:rRNA from 1 species
AACGAACGCUGGCGGCAUGCCUAACACAUGCAAGUCGAACGGAUGGUUUCGGCCAUCAGUGACGCACGGGUGAGUAACGCGUGGGAAUCUGCCCAGCAGUGGGGGAUAACCUCUGGAAACGGAGGCUAAUACCGCAUACGCCCCUCGGGGAAAGGGCUUGCUGCUGCUGGAGGAGCCCGCGUCGGAUUAGGUAGUUGGUGGGGUAACGGCCUACCAAGCCUGUGAUCCGUAGCUGGUCUGAGAGGAUGAUCAGCCACACUGGGACUGAGACACGGCCCAGACUCCUACGGGAGGCAGCAGUGGGGAAUAUUGGACAAAUGGGGGCGAACCCUGAUCCAGCAAUGCCGCGUGAGUGAUGAAGGCCUUCGGUUGUUAAGACUCUUCGUCCCACGACGAUGAUGACGGUAGUGGGAGAAGGAAGACCCCGGC